UACGUAGGGUGCGAGCGUUGUCCGGAAUUAUUGGGCGUAAAGAGCUCGUAGGCGGUUUGUCGCGUCUGCUGUGAAAUCCCGAGGCUCAACCUCGGGCCUGCAGUGGGUACGGGCAGACUGGAGUGCGGUAGGGGAGAAUGGAAUUCCUGGUGUAGCGGUGGAAUGCGCAGAUAUCAGGAGGAACACCGGUGGCGAAGGCGGGUCUCUGGGCCACUACUGACGCUGAGGAGCGAAAGCGUGGGGAGCGAACAGG
rnacentral:rRNA from 1 species